UACGGGGGGGGCAAGCGUUGUUCGGAAUUACUGGGCGUAAAGGGCUCGUAGGCGGCCAACUCAGUCAUACGUGAAAUCCCUCGGCUUAACCGGGGAACUGCGUCUGAUACUGGAUGGCUUGAGUUCGGGAGAGGGAUGCGGAAUUCCAGGUGUAGCGGUGAAAUGCGUAGAUAUCUGGAGGAACACCGGUGGCGAAGGCGGCAUCCUGGACCGACACUGACGCUGAGGAGCGAAAGCCAGGGGAGCAAACGGG
rnacentral:rRNA from 1 species